AUUGAACGCUGGCGGCAUGCCUUACACAUGCAAGUCGAACGGUAACGGGCCUUCGGGUGCCGACGAGUGGCGAACGGGUGAGUAAUACAUCGGAACGUGCCCGAUCGUGGGGGAUAACGAGGCGAAAGCUUUGCUAAUACCGCAUACGAUCUACGGAUGAAAGCAGGGGACCGCAAGGCCUUGCGCGGACGGAGCGGCCGAUGGCAGGUUAGGUAGUUGGUGUGAUAAAAGCUUACCAAGCCGACGAUCUGUAGCUGGUCUGAGAGGAUGAUCAGCCACACUGGGACUGAGACACGGCCCAGACUCCUACGGGAGGCAGCAGUGGGGAAUUUUGGACAAUGGGCGCAAGCCUGAUCCAGCCAUGCCGCGUGCAGGAUGAAGGCCUUCGGGUUGUAAACUGCUUUUGUACGGAACGAAAAGCCUUCUUUUAAUACAGGAGGGUCAUGACGGUACCGUAAGAAUAAGCACCGGCUAACUACGUG
rnacentral:rRNA from 1 species